rnacentral:lncRNA from 1 species
AAGGCUGCAAUUAAUUCACACGAUCAGUGGCUCCCAAGGAUUAGGAGCUCAGAUACCAUCUCAAGUUUCAAAGAGAAUAAAUUAUUUCUUAUUAUUCUCAUUACAUAUAUACAAUGAUGAGUUUGGUAUUCUCAAAAAAUAAACAGCGCCUACUCUAGUAAACAGAAUCCCUUAGAUUGUGGGACUGUUAUGCUAGAAAUAAAAACAAGAUACAGCAAAAUAUACAGAAUUAUACCCAAUAAAUACAGAAUUAAAACUAAUUAGAAUAAAAUCUGAAACUUCCUAAAAUAUCUCAACGCUUGGAUUGUACGAAUAGAAAACAUGAGAACUUGGAGGACCAAAAUGAGCCAGCGCUGGGAACCAGCCAAGGUAAUGGAGCUUUUUUGGGCCAUGAACUAGAAGCUAAGGCAAGGCCAAGCACUUGGACCAAUAUGUGGGUAAAUAAAAAAGCAAACCAGAAUAUUUGGGUUGGUUGGGAUGGAGGCAUUUCUUUUGCUUUCUCUGUUGCAAUGGAAGGUGGC